rnacentral:rRNA from 1 species
AUUGAACGCUGGCGGCGUGCCUAACACAUGCAAGUCGAGCGGUAACAGGUGUAGCAAUACAUGCUGACGAGCGGCGGACGGGUGAGUAACGCUUGGGAAUCUGCCUAUUAGUGGGGGACAACCCGGGGAAACUCGGGCUAAUACCGCAUACGCUCUACGGAGGGAAAGCCGGGGACCGCAAGGCCUGGCGCUAAUAGAUGAGCCCAAGUCGGAUUAGCUAGUUGGUAGGGUAAGGCCUACCAAGGCGACGAUCCGUAACUGGUCUGAGAGGACGACCAGUCACACCGGAACUGAGACACGGUCCGGACUCCUACGGGAGGCAGCAGUGGGGAAUAUUGGACAAUGGGCGAAGGCCUGAUCCAGCGACGCCGCGUGGGUGAAGAAGGCCUGCGGGUUGUAAAGCCCUUUCAGUGGGGAAGAAAGGCCUCGACCUAACACGUCGGGGUCUUGACGUAACCCAUAGAAGAAGCACCGGCUAACUCUGUGCCAGCAGCCGCCGCCGU